rnacentral:rRNA from 1 species
GACGAACGCUGGCGGCGUGCUUAACACAUGCAAGUCGAACGGAAAGGCCCUGCUUUCGUGGGGUGCUCGAGUGGCGAACGGGUGAGUAACACGUGAGUAACCUGCUCUUGACUUUGGGAUAACUUCAGGAAACUGGGGCUAAUACCGGAUAGGAGCCCCUGUUGCAUGGUGGGGGUUGGAAAGUUUCGGCGGUUGGGGAUGGAUUCGCGGCUUACCAGCUUGUUGGUGGGGUAGUGGCUUACCAAGGCUUUGACGGGUAGCCGGCCUGAGAGGGUGACCGGCCACAUUGGGACUGAGAUACGGCCCAGACUCCUACGGUGGGCAGCAGUGGGGAAUAUUGCACAGUGGGCGGAAGCCUGAUGCAGCAACGCCGCGUGCGGGAUGACGGCCUUCGGGUUGUAAACCGCUUUCGCCUGUGACGAAGCGUGAGUGACGGUAAUGGGUAAAGAAGCACCGGCUAACUACGUG